rnacentral:misc_RNA from 1 species
UACAGAGGGUGCGAGCGUUAAUCGGAAUUACUGGGCGUAAAGGGUGCGUAGGUGGCAAAAUAAGUUAGGUGUGAAAUCCCCGGGCUCAACCUGGGAACUGCGCUUAAAACUGUUUUGCUAGAGUACUGUAGAGGGAAGUGGAAUUUCCGGUGUAGCGGUGAAAUGCGUAGAUAUCGGAAGGAACACCAGUGGCGAAGGCGACUUCCUGGACAGAUACUGACACUGAGGCACGAAAGCGUGGGGAGCAAACAGG